rnacentral:rRNA from 1 species
GUGAGGAAUUUUCCGCAAUGGGCGAAAGCCUGACGGAGCAAUGCCGCGUGAAGGAUGAAGGCCUAUGGGUUGUAAACUUCUUUUCUUAGAGAAGAAUAUUGACGGUAUCUGAGGAAUAAGCACCGGCUAACUCCGUGCCAGCAGCCGCGGUAAUACGGAGGGUGCGAGCGUUGCCCGGAUUUAUUGGGUUUAAAGGGUGCGUAGGCUGGAAGGUCAGUCAGCGGUGAAAAGCUGUCGCUUAACGAUAGUCUUGCCGCAGAUACUUCCUUUCUUGGAUGAGGAGGAGGCCACUGGAACGGAUGGUGUAGCGGUGAAAUGCAUAGAUAUCAUCCAGAACACCGAUUGCGAAGGCAGGUGGCUGUACCUUAAUCGACGCUGAUGCACGAAAGCAUGGGGAGCAAACAGGAUUAGAUACCCGAGUAGUCC